rnacentral:tRNA from 11 species
CGUGGUCUGGUGGUUAGAACGCCAGGCUAACAAUCUGAGGGUUGUAGGUUCGAGCCCGGGC